rnacentral:lncRNA from 1 species
CUCGUAUGACCCAUUUGGCAUUCUCUACAUGAUUUUGAUAGCAAGAGGAGGUCAUUUGCAGACAGAGUUGAUUCCGGGUGAGCCAGUGACUCCAUGGUAACUCGGAGAAAUGCAUCUGCAGAGAAACGAGCUGGUGUUGCCUCCUCACGGGCAGAAAGGGGAGCAAAUGAAAGGUGCGUGGAUCAAACCGGUGCGCGUCGGGCUCCGUAUCCCGUCUCUCGACGCAAGCAGCUCUGCAGCCUCAAAGGAAGAUACCAGAAGCCUCACAGGCUAUCGAAGCCUGGCCUGGACGGCGUGGUUGGCGUCCCGCAGGAGCGGAGCCCGUCGCCCCUCAUCCUGCACGGCGGCUCGGCCGGCCCCUACGCCCGGCCCCGCUGACGCCCGGUGGGCUGACGCCUCGCAGAACUGA